UCUGGUGUCAGCCGCCGCGGUAAAACCAGCACCUCGAGUGGUCAGGAGGUUUAUUGGGCCUAAAGCAUCCGUAGCCGGUUGUUUAAGUUUUCGGUUAAAUCUAUGCGCUUAACGUAUAGGCUGCCGAAAAUACUGGACAGCUAGGGAGUGGGAGAGGUACACGGUACUCAAUAGGAAGGGGUAAAAUCCUUUGAUCUGUUGAUGACCACCUGUGGCGAAGGCGGUGUACCAGAACACGUUCGACGGUGAGGGAUGAAAGCUGGGGGAGCAAACCGGAUUAGAUACCCGGGUAGUCCCAGCUGUAAACGAUGCAAACUCGGUGCUGCAUUGGCUUGUGGCCAAUGCAGUGCCGCAGGGAAGCCGUUAAGUUUGCCGCCUGGGAAGUACGUACGCAAGUAUGAAACUUAAAGGAAUUGGCGGGGGAACACCACAAGGGGUGAAGCCUGCGGUUCAAUUGGAGUCAACGCCAGAAAUCUUACCCGGAGCGACAGCAGAAUGAAGGUCAAGCUGAAGACUUUACCAGACAAGCU
rnacentral:rRNA from 2 species